CGGCCCUGAUGAAGCUUACCCGAAAGGGCAGUACAGUUGCGAGCGACGCCCCGCAAGGGCGCCGCGCUGAAGCAGCAUAAUUCCAAUGGAUCCUUCUGAGCCG
rnacentral:snoRNA from 1 species